UGAAUCUUCACCAGAACACUACAAGAAUGUAAGCUCCAUGAGGUCAUGGAUUGUGUAUUUUGUUCACUGCUGUAUUCCCUGAGCCUGGAACAGUGCCUGACACAUAGUAGAUGCGCAGUAAAUAUUUGGUGAAUGAAUGAACAAACGCUAAUACAUCAAAGAGACAACAUCAAAGAACAGACUCCACAGGGCAGUUUACAUCUUCAUUGUUUGGCCCGACCCUUCUUGUUUGAGGGUGGAUUUUCAAAAUUACUGCUGAAGGCAAUUGGGAGCCUUGAAAGCUUUUAAAGGAGACGGGGUCUCACCACAUUGUCCAGGCUGAUCUCGAACUCCUGACUUCAAGCGAUCUCACCUCGGCCUCCCAAAGUGCUGGGAUUACAGGCAUAAGCCACCGUGCCUGGCCAAUUAUGAUCUAGUUUGAGUCAUUAAAAAGGAGAAGUCAUCAGUUUGAAAAGAGCUACAAUCAGAGCAAAAUGAAUUCUGCUAAAAUUGAAGGAACAACAAACGUCAAAUUUAGGGUGAGGUUAGGGUGGAAGAAUGGUAAAAUCACUGAUGCUUUACCAAAAGUUUAUGGGGACAAUGCACCUAAAUAAAUCAGCAGUUUAUAAAAAUAGUUAAUUUGUAAGAAAGGACAAGACGAUGCUGAAGAUGAAGCCUGCAGCAGCAGGUCAUCCACAUCAAUUUGUGAGAAAAAAAAUUUAUCUUCUUUGUGCCCUAAUUUGGAAGGACCAACGAUUAACAGCAGAAACAACAGUCAACACCAUAGACAUCACAAUUGGUUCAGCUUACAGAAUUCUGACUGAAAAAUCAAAAGUUGAGCAAACUUUCCACUUGAUGGGUGCCAAAACCAGAUCAGCUGCAAAGAACAGAGCUUUCAAUGGAAAUUUUAAACAAGUAGGCUCUAUUGGUUGCUACAAAAUUAAUUGCAGUUUUUGCCAUUGAAAGACAUGUCAAAAACCGCAAUUACUUUUGCCCCAACCAAUAGAUCAUGAAGCAUCUAUUGGGAAAGUGUAACAGGAGGUGAAAUGUGGCUUUCCAACUAUGGAGACAAAGUACAAUCGAAGUAAUGGCUCCGAAGAUGUGGAAGUGGUCCAGUCAAAGCAAAAGUGGUCUGGUCAAGAGCAAAGGUCAUGGAAAUAGUUUUUUGAGCUGCUUGAGAAAUUUUGCUUGUUGACUUUCUGGAGGGCCAAAGAAAAAUAACAUCUGCUUAUUAUGAGAGUGUUUUGAGAAAGCCAAAGCUUUAGCAGAAAAAUGCCCAGGAAAACUUCACCAGAGAGUCCUUUUCUAUCACAGCAAAGGUUCUGCUCACGCCUCUCAUCAAACGGGAAAUUUUGAGAGAGUUUCAAUGGGAAACCAGUAGGCAUUCACCCUACAGUUGGUAUUUAGCUCCUUCCAACUUCUUUUGGUUUCCUAAUGAUAAAAAAUCUGUAAAGGGUACCAUUUUUUUUCCAGUUAAUAAUGUAAAAAAGAUUGCAUUGAUGUAAAUUCCCAGGAACUCCAAUUCUUUGGGGAUGGAUAAAAUGGCUAGUAUCUAAGUGCUGUGAGCAAGAGACAAAAAUAAAUAAAUAAAUGGCUAAUAUCAUUGCCUACAAAAGUGUCAAAGUUUCUUGACCUUGGUGGAUCUUAUAAGUUUAUAUUUUUUAUCUUUUACGUCUAUUUUCCACAAACUUUUUUUUUUUUUUGAGACAGAGUCUGGCUCU
rnacentral:lncRNA from 10 species